CCUACGGGAGGCAGCAGUGGGGGAUAUUGCACAAUGGGGGGAACCCUGAUGCAGCGACGCCGCGUGAGUGAAGAAGUAUUUCGGUAUGUAAAGCUCUAUCAGCAGGGAAGAAAAUGACGGUACCUGACUAAGAAGCCCCGGCUAACUACGUGCCAGCCGCCGCGGUAAU
rnacentral:rRNA from 1 species